GGUCGACACUAAUCGAUUUGGUUCAAUUUUCAUGCGAUAAGACGUAAUUUUAUUUGAUUACCCUCAUUAUUCGCAACAGUUUUCAUUACAUUUGAUUUGAAAUCGAUUUUAUCGGAUUUUCCCCAUUUUCUAAGUUUUGGUCUGGUUUUUGUCGGUUUUAUGCUUUCCAUUUUCAUCAAAAUGGCAAAAAUCCGAAAUAUCCGAAAAAAUCGAACAUAAUGACGAAAAUCGUCUGAGAAUCGCCCAAUACCGUUUAAAAUCGCUAAAAGCGUUUCGACGUCGCGACGCCGUGCAAUUCAAUUUGACAGCUCUUCCACCUAACAAAUCAGCUGCGUCGAUCCAUCAGCUGUUCAAUCAAAACAAGUUCUGAGUCGAAUCCACAGUUCAACAACUAUGAACUAUCUCAGGAAUUUAGACUGAUCAAACGACACCAUGUGGAAGGCAUCUUGAGGCGCAAAAACCGGAAUUAGGAUGAACGGUUCCGAUCGGCACUGGAAAAGGAACAGCGGAGAUCAUAUUAUCAAAUUGCAGAAUCGAACUGGGUGGAAAACUGCCAAAAAAGAAGAUUACCAAGCAAAUCGGAAGAGCCCUCAGACGAGUACCGCAGGAUUAUUUGGAGUAGCUACCAGCGGUUACCAGUAAACCGGUUUUACGAACAUCUCUGGACAUCCCCAUUUUCGGAGGAUUCGGUGCUCAGAUUCAAACCGACAGCCUGAGGAUUGCUCUCGGAAACUGCCAUUACCUCGGCCAUUACGCAAUGAUGAGAGCACUGAAAAGGUGUCAGUUUUUUUCUACAAAAUUGCUUCGUCGAAUGUGUCUAAACAGUACAGGUGUGAAUUUCAGAUAAAUAAGAACUAAAUAAAAAUAGCAUGCUUUGUUAGAUAAAUCUAUUUUUUUCUGUUAGCAUUCUUAAAAAAAAAACAAGGUGUAAAAUAAGACGCUUGUUGAGAAAAGCUUUUUUCACGAGUCUCACAAUAUAAUAUGUAGUAUUUAUGUACGAGUACAUGCAAUGACGGACAAUGAAAGCUAUAUAAACUUGUGGAAGUGAACCUUUCGAUCAGAUACACGGCCGAAUAACGUCCUACCCAAAAACUAUCCUCGAAGGCGUUGAUGAACAAUGAAGGUCUUGCUCAAAAUCACCGGAAGUUGCGUGCGAGUUAAAUGGGUCUCAGCCACCAGGAAGAGUACGACAGUACUCUCGUAGAAUCUUCCCUUAAACCAAGCACCAAACGUAUCGCAACAUCCACUCCCAACAACUCCUAACUACAUAUCAUGAUUCCAAAGCGUACGGCAACGAUUGCACCACUCCACUACCGCCAAGAUAGAUCCAUCAGCCAAAUGACUCUUCCAUAGCAAAAUUCCAACUAAUUUAGUUGAAACACAAUCCGCCAGCCAGAAAACCAGAGGACCUGGAGGCACCAGAACCAGUCGUCGCUUGAAUGUUAUGAUGCAAAAAGUCCGGCCUCGAAUCCGGUGCGGUUGUAAAUAAAACUAACAAAAAAUCGAGAAAAUUUGACAUUUUGGGCUAGAGAUGUGCACCGAUUUUAUUCGAUUCGAUAUGAAUAUGCAAAAAUUAUAAUCGAUUUUAUCGGAUAUUUCGGAUAUGAGUGAUUUUGAUCGAUUUUUGUCCAUUUCUUCAGUUUCGUUAAAAUUAUGAAAACAAAUUAAGAAUCCUUCUAAGUUUUGGUCAAUUUUGGCUUAAAAUCUACGUUAUCUGGAAGAGUCGUCCCCCUCGCGUAACACCUUGAACGGUUUUCAUGGAAAUCCAUCGCCCAGUUCACACUAACAUCACCUGGUGGAAAAGUUGCACGAAUCACUGUGUUGUGCAAUAUCGUCAACAGAAGGCGCUAGUGUGAAACGUCAAACGCAUAGAAAAACAAUUCGCGCGCCUCUGGUUGUGAAAGCCACAACUAUGAAAAUUUAAAAUUAUCGUUAAAAGCGUGGUCGAUGUUAAUUUCGCAAGUGUUACGUCUGUUUGUCUGUG